rnacentral:rRNA from 1 species
AUUGAACGCUGGCGGCAGGCUUAACACAUGCAAGUCGAGCGAGCGGCGGACGGGUGAGUAAUGUCUGGGAAACUGCCUGAUGGAGGGGGAUAACUACUGGAAACGGUAGCUAAUACCGCAUACCAUCAGAUGUGCCCAGAUGGGAUUAGCUAGUAGGCUGGGUAAUGGCUCACCAAGGCGACGAUCCCUAGCUGGUCUGAGAGGAUGAUCAGCCACCCUGGAACUGAGGAACUGUCCAGACUCCUACGAGAGGCAGCAGUAGGGAAUGUUGCACAAUGGGCGCAAGCCUGAUGGAGCCAUGCCGCGUGUGUGAAGAAGGCCUUCGGGUUGUAAAGCACUUUCAGCAAGGAGGCGUUACUCGCAGAAGAAGCACCGGCUAACUCCGUGCCAGCCGCCGCGGUAAUAC